GGCGGUUCUUGGGUGACGCAACCGGGAACCAGAGAGGAAGGAGCCUGAUUCCAGGGUGCAUCACCCAAGAACUGUC
rfam:Myotis brandtii contig185760, whole genome shotgun sequence.